rnacentral:lncRNA from 1 species
GGGGCCAGGAAGUGAGAGCCGAGGAUGAGUCCCGCCCGGGAGGUGGUGUAAAGGCUGCAGGGAGGCCCCGAACAUGUGGAAUCCCAAUGCCGGACAGCCAGGGCCUCAUCCAUAUCCCCCUAACAUCGCGUACCCUGGAGGUGCCAAUCCUGCCCAUCCGCCACCUGUGAAUCCCGCCUACCCCCCGGGCCCCUAUCCAACUCCCCCAGGGGCUCCCCAGGGGAAUCCAGCUUUUCCCCCUGGCGGGCCCCCUUAUCCUGCGCCACAACCAGGGUACCCCGGAUGCCAACCCACGGGUCCCUACCCACCUCCCUACCCACCACCUGUUCCUGGCACGCCUCUUGUGAAUCCCUUGCCACCUGGCAUGGGGGGACCGGGAAUGGUGAUGGACAAGAAGAUGCGGAAGAAAAUGAAGAAAGCUCAUAAAAAGACGCACAAACACCACAAGCAUGGCAAGCAUUCCUCCUCCUCCUCCUCCUCUUCCAGCAGUGACUCUGACUGAAUGCAGGGUCUGGACCCUUCCCUCAAGCCUCUCCAGUUCUGCUCUCCCAUCAAGCUUCAAAUGGCAUCUUGUACGGGGGAAAAUUAGCCCUUGUACCCCUUCUCCCUUACCCCCCACUCUGAGCCUUACUCUGCUGUUCAGCCCUAACUGGCUAGGGAAAAUGGGCCAAUGAAUUGCCAUGGGCUAGCAAAGACCAUCUUCUAACUACUUGAAAAGACCUUUUAGCUGAUGAGCUUAGCAGGAGAACUAUGUUUUUGAGGCUGAUGAGACCUUUGAGCUAAAUGCUGAAGAUGAGUUUAAGAUCUGUAAAAUGAGAUUUUUUUUUUUAACUUUCUUUUGUAAUACUUGUAGUUGGGAGGGGUUGUGGAAAUUUAAUUAUGGAAGAAAAGAAACUGUGCCGUUUUGUAAUGGUGGCUGGCAUACUUUGGUGAUUUAGUGGCAAAUAGAUUUCCCACCAGCCUCUAUUGAUUGUACUAACUGUAAGCCUGCUGGGAGGUGGAGUCCAUUUGGUUCAUAAGCUCUACCUGCCGGUUUGGAAUCUAAUCUCACUUCUUAGCCUCAGUAGGCUGGCUCAGGGCCUUCUCAUUCUCCAGCUCUCAGCCCAAAUAAAGCUUUUUUUUUCCUGGUCUCUGUUCA